CAAAACUAGGCUAAAAACUCUAAUAACUCGAAACACACUUAGAAUGACUCAAAAUAAUGAAAACAAUCAAAUUGGACACUAGGAACUGAAAUGGACGGAAAUUGAAUUAAAAGACUAACAACAAUGAAAACUAACUAAAUAAUAUAAUUUAAUAAUGGGGGAUGUUUGGUUUUGACGAGAAGUAAAUUAAACUUAAAUAAAUUACAUAAUUGACAAAAGCAUGAAAUUAAGGUGAAAUGAUAGGUGACGGAUUAGCUAGAGGGUUCUUCUCCACACAUGACACAUAUGCAACCUAAAUUGAUUUUCAGUUGUUCUUUCAAUAAAUUGUAAAUCUCAACGCCCCAAAUUAACCGUGAAUUGCACUAAUCAACCCUCAGUUUUUCCACAAGUUAUUGGGUUGGAUGAUUGCAUACGACAACCCAAAACAUUCCCUACAAGUUCCCUACAUGAAUUGCAUAAUAGAGAUACAAGCAAGAAUCAUUAAGUUCUAUGAAAAACAUAAGCAUUGACGAGACACUCAUUACUAUGAUUUGCAUGAAACUUAUGCCAAGAAUUUACUUAACGUGAUUGUGACUAGCAACCUUUACUACUUGUGAAUAUAAGUUCAUAACGAUUAGGUGAAAUUCACUUAUAUUCUAGCAUCAAAUUCAUGCAUGUAAAUUAAGCGUGCACUCUCAACCAACAUACACAAAUCAGUUUUUAUACGAACGGAUAAGUAAAUUGAAUUCACAACUCAGAAAUCACAACCGAAGGUAAUCAAUUCAUAUUACAAAUAUAUUCAUGGCUUUGAAUUAACCUCUAGCCAAAAUAAAUUUAAUUACACAUUAUUAAAACAAAAAUAAAAUAGAAGUUUGGAAAGAUUUAACCGAGAGAGAAGAGAGUGCUUGCUGCUUCUGUCUGUCUGACUUCCCUUUCUGAUCCAGUCUGCCCUCUCUUGCCGUGCCUGCCCAUUGCCCCUGUCUCUCUGUUUCCGCACUCUAACCUCUCUCCCCUCUGACCUGCGUCUAUCCUCACGCUGCCAAAGGCAGCCCUCCUUUCUUUCCGCCCCCCAGCUGCAAAGCAACUUUCCUCCCGCGUCAAUCCCCCCCUGUUUUUCUGCGCCUCCUGCGCUCUCUGACCUCGCUGCCAAAGGGCAGCGUUCUUCCCCCCCUCGCCUUCUGCGCUCAGUUUUCUCAUAUAUGCCCGCUGCCCACCUACCACGCUGCACUCAGCAGCUUUCAUUUAUUCUUUUCUUCGUGCUCCACUCAUUCUUUUGUUUUCUUUUGUUCCACCCAGGCAGCCAAGUGCUGCUUUUCCUCUUUUAUUUUAUUCUUCUUUUUGGCAGCCUUGCUGCUUCUUUUCUUUGUGCGUUACUCACCAUUCCACCUGAAACAUCUUUAAGUUUAAUAAAAACCCCAGUGCAAACUCUUAUUCCAACCUGACAAAAUUUAGUGAGUAAAUAACAAGUUUGUGCCAUUUUUAUUUUCUUUGCAUACCAAAUCCUAUAAACACAAAAAUAACGUAAAUAGCUCAAAAAUAUAAGGAACUAACUAAGAAAAGACGAGUGAAUUCGAAGUAAAAAUAUAUAUAAAUAUGAUCCGAUCAAGUACCCAUCUAAUUUGGCCUCUAGAGAAUGUAACCUCACAAUGAUAUGAUAUUGGCUCCAUUGCACUUAGUUAAGUCAUUCCCACCAUGCUUAGUUCAUGAAGGGG
rnacentral:lncRNA from 1 species